rnacentral:lncRNA from 1 species
CCCUAAGCUUUGUUAAAUUAUUCCUCUGCCUGUGUUACCUGAGGGCUUAUCAGCAAUUUCAGAAUACAUCAGCUGGUUCUCAUCACAAAUCUGGCACAUUAGCCGAAAGGACAACAGUAAGGAAAGAGGUUUCAAUAAUACUUUCUACUUUACACUGUAGUUACUGUGGUCCAGGAUGCUUCAAUCAUCUCCCCACCAGCCUGAAGGGAUUCAUUCUCUAAGGAGUUCCAAGGAGGUUGGACAAUAUUCUGAAGACAAAUGACAAUGGCAUCUGCGUUGCUGCUGAGAUACGAAAGUCAACACAACCUGAUACAAAAUGGUGAUGGCAACGAAAGAACAGAUAUUCAGCAGAUUGGACACCUGAUCCCUGACCAUGCCUGUCCGUCAUUACACAAUAGAAACAAUUAAUUUAACAGUUAGAAAAGAACUCUCAGGUUCCCACCUGCUCUUUACAGCUGCUAAAAGGAUUCCCUGAGAUAUGUUGCUGAACUGCAGAAGGGGAUAUUUUCCUGCUGGAAUGGCCACUUCCAAACUACAGACCACUCCCCUGUGCACAUUCUCUGUAAGAGAGGAGUAAAAAAAAAAAAUCCUGUGAGUUUGCAGCAGAGCAUUCAUGUCUAUCAGGGCUUGUCACACGGUUCCAAGGAAGCUAUCGUUUGAACACCUCACCUAAGAAUCUACCUUUAUAUUCUGGGCAAAUAUGAAGACGCUGUCAAAGGCUGCAACAUGUGAAAUAUUCUCAGGAGCCUCACAAGAGCAUUUUUUCAGGCAUCUUGCUUUCCCCAGUGCUGUUAACUGGCUUCAUCUCCCAUGAUGUAAUGAAGUCCCGGUAAUGAGACCGUGCACCAUCCUCCUGCACCAAGACAGAGGCUGCUCUCCGCAAGGGCUCUGACCGAUGGGCUGACUCCAGGGGACGGGCACCUGAGGCCCCCUCGCUGCAGGCACCGCGGCCCUCUCAGAAACAGUCUCUGCCACUUAUCAGCCCUACCUUUCUUUUUUUCCCUCUUUUUAUUGAAAAUUUCAAAUGUUCUGCAAGAAAAAUAAGUAAGCCCACCUGACCACUCCUAAUUACUAAAAAUUAUUCAAAUCAGCUACAAAAUAGGCUCAAGUCCUGCCUUCUGUUGAUGUUAUCACCAGUCACAGUCCCCUCACAGUUGAAAGCUUAGUUUGUUUAUUUUGUGGAAAACAAAAGCUUUCCAAUUUGCCUUCUCUCAGACAUAAUUACAACUGCACAAAACUGUAGAGAUCAUUUUGUCAGGGUUAUUACAGUAGUAAGAUGAGAGUGUCAGAGGUGACUCUGCCUCACAGGGGUAAGAGUUGUAUUUACAGGAAACAGACUCUUUCUACACUCUGAUCCAAGAUGCUGUGAAAGUUUAAAUAUUGUCAGAUUUGUAUUCAGGAGACAAAA